rnacentral:rRNA from 1 species
UGGGGAAUAUUGGACAAUGGGCGCAAGCCUGAUGCAGCAACGCCGCGUGAGGGACGACGGCCUUCGGGUUGUAAACCUCUUUUAGCAGGGAAGCGGUACCUGCAGAAAAAGCACCGGCUAACUACGUGCCAGCAGCCGCGGUAAUACGUAGGGUGCAAGCGUUGUCCGGAAUUAUUGGGCGUAAAGAGCUCGUAGGCGGUUUGUCGCGUCUGCUGUGAAAACCCGAGGCUCAACCUCGGGCCUGCAGUGGGUACGGGCAGACUAGAGUGCGGUAGGGGAGAUUGGAAUUCCUGGUGUAGCGGUGGAAUGCGCAGAUAUCAGGAGGAACACCGAUGGCGAAGGCAGAUCUCUGGGCCGUAACUGACGCUGAGGAGCGAAAGGUGGGGAGCGAACAGGAUUAGAUACCCGAGUAGU